rnacentral:rRNA from 1 species
AUUGAACGCUGGCGGCAGGCCUAACACAUGCAAGUCGAGCGGAUGAAGGGAGCUUGCUCCUGGAUUCAGCGGCGGACGGGUGAGUAAUGCCUAGGAAUCUGCCUGGCAGUGGGGGAUAACGUCCGGAAACGGGCGCUAAUACCGCAUACGUCCUGAGGGUGAAAGUGGGGGAUCUUCGGACCUCACGCUAUCAGAUGAGCCUAGGUCGGAUUAGCUAGUUGGUGGGGUAAAGGCCUACCAAGGCGACGAUCCGUAACUGGUCUGAGAGGAUGAUCAGUCACAUUGGAACUGAGACACGGUCCAGACUCCUACGGGAGGAAGCAGUGGGGAAUAUUGGACAAUGGGCGAAAGCCUGAUCCAGCCAUGCCGCGUGUGUGAAGAAGGUCUUCGGAUUGUAAAGCACUUUAAGUUGGGAGGAAGGGCAGUAGGUUAAUACCUUGCUGUUUUGACGUUACCAACAGAAUAAGCACCGGCUAACUUCGUG